rnacentral:rRNA from 1 species
AUCGAGGUUCGACUAAGCCAUGCGAGUCGAAUGUAGCAAUACAUGGCGUACUGCUCAGUAACACGUGGACAACCUACCCUUGAGACGGGGAUAAACCCGGGAAACUGGGUAUAAUACCCGAUAGAUCUCGACUGCUGGAAUGCAUCGAGCUCCAAAGCUCCGGCGCUCAAGGAUGGGUCUGCGGCCUAUCAGGUAGUAGUGGGUGUAGCGUACCUACUAGCCUACGACGGGUACGGGUUGUGAGAGCAAGAGCCCGGAGAUGGAUUCUGAGACACGAAUCCAGGCCCUACGGGGUGCAGCAGGCGCGAAAACUUUACAAUGCUGGAAACAGCGAUAAGGGGACCUCGAGUGCCAGGUUACAAAUCUGGCUGUCGUGAUGCCUAAAAAGCAUUGCAUAGCAAGGGCCGGGCAAGACCGGUGCCAGCCGCCGCGGUAACACCGGCGGCUCGAGUGGUAACCGUUAUUAUUGGGUCUAAAGGGUCUGUAGCCGGCCGGAUAAGUCUCUUGGGAAAUCUGGCAGCUUAACUGUCAGGCUUUCAGGAGAUACUGUCUGGCUCGAGGCCGGGAGAGGUGAGAGGUACUUCAGGGGUAGGGGUGAAAUCUUGUAAUCCUUGAAGGACCACCAGUGGCGAAGGCGUCUCACCAGAACGGACCUGACGGCAAGGGACGAAAGCUAGGGGCACGAACCGGAUUAGAUACCCGGGUAGUCCUAGCCGUAAACGAUACUCGCUAGGUGUCGGCCACGGUGCGACCGUUGUCGGUGCCGUAGGGAAGCCGUGAAGCGAGCCACCUGGGAAGUACGGCCGCAAGGCUGAAACUUAAAGGAAUUGGCGGGGGAGCACCACAACGGGUGGAGCUUGCGGUUUAAUUGGAUCAACGCCGG